rnacentral:rRNA from 1 species
AGAGUUUGAUCCUGGCUCAGGAUGAACGCUAGCGGCAGGCUUAACACAUGCAAGUCGAGGGGUAGAAGUUUUCGGACUUUGAGACCGGCGCACGGGUGCGUAACGCGUAUGCAAUCUACCUUUUACAGAGGGAUAGCCCAGAGAAAUUUGGAUUAAUACCUCAUAGUAUUAUUGAAUGGCAUCAUUUAAUAAUUAAAGUUCCAACGGUAAAAGAUGAGCAUGCGUCCCAUUAGCUAGUUGGUGUGGUAACGGCACACCAAGGCAAUGAUGGGUAGGGGUCCUGAGAGGGAGAUCCCCCACACUGGUACUGAGACACGGACCAGACUCCUACGGGAGGCAGCAGUGAGGAAUAUUGGACAAUGGGCGCAAGCCUGAUCCAGCCAUGCCGCGUGAGUGAUGAAGGCCUUAGGGUUGUAAAGCUCUUUCGACGGGGACGAUGAUGACGGUACCCGUAGAAGAAGCCCCGGCUAACUUCGUGCCAGCAGCCGCGGUAAU